GCAGACCUAGCACAAAGAACUUCACAUAAAAUGGUCACCAAUGGAGGAAGAAGAAGGUUGGUGAAACUGUUUAAGACACUCACCAAAAGGUGAAGAUGUUUUUGAAAGUCUUGAGCACCUUUGAAUGUUGCUAAACCCACAAAAGAUUCAAGUGUGACUAUUUUUUGACUUGGAGCUGUUGGCCUUAUUGCUGCAGACGGAGCAAAAAUUGCUAGUGCUUCAAGGAUAAUUUGUGUCGAUUUAAAUGCUAGCUGAUUUCAGUAAGCUAAGAAAUUUUGCGUGAAAAAGUUUGUGAACCCAAAGGAUUAAAGUAAACCAGGUCAUGAGGUAAUUGCUGAGAUGACUGAUUGCAAAUUUGAUCCGAGUGUG
rnacentral:misc_RNA from 1 species